rnacentral:lncRNA from 1 species
CCAAACUCCAAAAGAGUCUCUACAUUGUUAAGCCACCAUGCAAGCAAUCAAAACAGAAAUUUUGUAUUUUAAGGAGCGUACCGAUGCAGAGAGCAACAUCUUCUGACAUAGUUCAUACUGGGACUUGAAAAAGUAAACUGGCUCAACUUCAAGUCCAUGUUGUAUCCAGAAGGUCUGAUACUGCUUUCCAGCUUUUUUUUGAGCCUGAUGCGUUUCAUCAGUUGUCAGACAUUGGGUAUUCAAAGCCCUUGGAAGGACUCAGGUAGACAGAGAUUUCCAGCAAGAUAUUCUCACCUCCACUGCCAACUCUUAAAUGAGGCCUGGGAUGGAGUGGAUCCUGGCUCCAGCCCUUCAGGUCACUCAGCUGCAUUGCAUUGUACCUGACCUGCUCUGCGUUGGCCCUGCCUUUCUACCAGGUGCUCAAUCACUGCUUCAAGCUGUGACAGUAUUUCUACUACACAUGCCAUUUUUCCCCUAACACUUGCCUGACUAGAGGAAGGUGUCUACAGGAGGCAAGAGAGACCUACAUAUACAGAAAAACAGUAAAUAAAUCUCUGUAACAC